rnacentral:misc_RNA from 1 species
GAGGCAAUACCAGAGCAGGGCGCAGCUCCCUCGGCACCCAUAGCCCAAAGCUACGAAAGCAGCAGCACAGCAAGCAGCACAUCGCAAGACCUCGAGCUAGCACAACACGAGAAGAGUCCGCCCUUUGCCUUCUAUUUAGCAAUGAGUGCCAUCUUGUCAGUUUCUGUCAUCUUCUUCCUGACAAUGUGGAUCUUCGUCGAUGUGUUGCGCAGCGCCGCGACCGUGACGAGCGCCUUGGGGUCGGUGUUCACUCUCAUAGGCACUGUCUCCGGAGCCUACUUCGGCAUCAAGAUUGCCAGCGACACGGUAGAGAGAUCGGUAAGUGCUAUAGAAGAAGCGAACCAGAGGGCGGAGAGA